rnacentral:rRNA from 1 species
AAAACCUUACCCACCUUUGACAUGUACGGAAUCCUUUAGAGAUAGAGGAGUGCUCGAAAGAGAGCCGUAACACAGGUGCUGCAUGGCUGUCGUCAGCUCGUGUCGUGAGAUGUUGGGUUAAGUCCCGCAACGAGCGCAACCCUUGCCAUUAGUUGCUACGAAAGGGCACUCUAAUGGGACUGCCGGUGACAAACCGGAGGAAGGUGGGGAUGACGUCAAGUCCUCAUGGCCC